rnacentral:rRNA from 1 species
GACGAACGCUGGCGGCGUGCUUAACACAUGCAAGUCGAACGGAAAGGCCCCUUUGGGGUUCCGGGCUUGGGAAACGGGGGGGUAACACUCACGUAACUUCCCUUCCCUUUCGGGUGAACUAACGUAAGUGGGGUCGAUCACGGACUGGAAAUCUUCUCCGCCUGCGGGGGGUGGGAAGGUUUGGGGGGUUUGGAUGGGAUGGCGGCUUGUCAGCUUGGUUGGUGGGUAGUGGCUUACCAAGGCCUUGCCGGGUAGCCGGGCCGGGAGGGGGACCGGCCACAUUGGGGCUGAGAUACGGCCCAGACUCCUACGGGAGGCAGCAGGGGGGAAUAUUGCACAAUGGGCGGAAGCCUGAUGCAGCAACGCCGCGGGGGGGAUGACGGCCUUCGGGUUGGAAACCGCUUUCAGCAGGGGCGAAGCUUGUGGUGACGGUACCUGCAGAAGAAGCACCGGCUAACUACGUG